GGCAACAUGGCCGAGUGGUUAAGGCGCUAGAUCCAGGUCCGUUAAAGGUCACAUGGUUUUCUAGUCCGAAAGGACAUGGGUUCGAGUCCCAUUGUUGUCA